rnacentral:misc_RNA from 1 species
GUGUACAGCUCCACAGCACGUCUUAUCGACCUGCGCGGUCUGGCGCUUUACUGAGUGAAUGCUGUGGUGGACGGCGCGGCUGCUGUUCGGGGCUGGCGGCACACAAGGCGGUGUCAAAAAGCUUUCCGCCGUGAAAGCUGAGUAUUGCGACUGGGCGCUCAAGGAGAACACACGAGCGCUGAUCGGUUUCAUUCAUCACCCUCUCGUUACCGAGUACCUGAUCCGCCUUCAUGAGAAGCGGAUUGCGCUGGAAAAGUGGCAGGAGGACUCCGUGAGCGACACUAAAGUUAACGCCCUUGUCAACUGCGUGGAUAACUCCCCGUUCGACUACGUGAGGUGGAAUACCAAGUACCGUGACGAGCUUGACAUCGCAGAGAAGGUGUGUGCUGUGCUGCGGCAGUUGGAUGAAAAUGUGACGCUGCACGAUCAGCUACAGUCCAAGAGCGUGCGCAGUAGGGAAGAUGAGGAGAUUUUCGACAUGGCCAAGGAGGACAUCGCCACACUCACGGACCAGCUCCGGGUGCUGGAGGGUGAGGUUAAUGCGGUGAUGGAGCGCCGGAUCGGGUCUGAUGAUUUGGUAGGGUCCGUGACGAAUGUCUGGAAUAUCAACGUUGAAGGGAAGGCUGGAGGUGAGGAGGCGAGUCUGUUUGCCGCAGAGCUGGCGGAAAUGUAUCGCAUGUAUGCGACAGAGUUUCGCAACUGGAAGGUUCGUCCGGUGGUUAAGGACGACGGCAGUGAAGCCGCCAACUCUAACGAGUUUCAGGUUUGCGGGGAAGGGGUCUAUCGCAACAUGCGCCACGAGAUCGGCGUGCACAAAGUUCAGCGCGUGCCGGUGACAGACGCCGCAGGAAAGAUGCAGACCUCCACCGCAGUUUUCACCAUGAUGCCUGUGCUGGAUCCGGUAUCGGUUGACGUUCACGAAAGCGACUGCAAGAUCGACUUUGUUCGCGGCUCUGGCCCCGGCGGACAGGGGAUGCAGAGCAGCUCCAACUGCGUGGUGCUCACGCACAAGCCCUCUGGUAUAUCCGUCAAGUGUCACCAGUCCCGCUCGGCCCUCGGAAACAAAGAGCUCGCACUGCAGACGGUAGCGCAGCAGAUUCUGGUGCAGCGUGUGAAGGAGCAGAACAGUUCUCUCCACAAAGCGUGGCAAAACCAAUGGAGCAGCGGGGAGCGCUCUGACAAGAUGCGAACGUACAAUUACCCGCAGAAUCGUGUGACGGACCACCGCAUUGGGAAAGACUAUGCUUUGUCCUCCUUCAUGGAGCGUGGCAGCGGCUUGAAGGGCCUCCACGACGAGCUCAACGACAUCAACGAUCGAGAGCAGGUGAUGAAUGUGCUUCUCAAGCACAUCAAAGGCGGCUUCGGUAGCGUUGUAUAGCCGAUUCGCACACUAGACACAGGUGGUGCAACAGCAAACGCUACUGGGGCCUUUGCUCAAGCUGCUAUGAGCGCAGCUUUCUGCCCGCAUUUUUUCUACAGAGACU